UUCAGAAACGGGCUUGACUUACCCUGCUUUCUCGGGUUUGACAUACCUCCCUUUCUGAAACAGAAAACCCAGAGUUUCCCUCAUUUCAGGGUUAACAUACUCAGAGUUUUCACUUAACCUUCUUUCUGAAACGGGCCCCUGGACUUCCCACCUCUGAAGAUCUGUCUAGAUCUCAGCAUCUUUACUAUUUCUUUCAUUCAAAACUUUUGGAUGUUGAUGUUUUAUUGAAGAUAGUAAAUUUUCAAGUCACCGUUAUGGAGGUGAGCGUUUGCUUUACUUGGGCUCCUGACCCUUAAUAUUUCAGCCUCAGUUGUUUUCUGGUCGUUAUGAUUUUUUUUUUUUGUGAAGCACAUUUGUUUUAGCAAGAGAAAUCCUAGUUAAAUGAAGUUGAUUGUUUAUUGAUGAAUCUAUCAUCAUGUUGUGGUCAGAAUCAAAGAUGUUUAUAUUUUGCAGAGUAUGAUUUAGGAUUUUUUUUUUUUCUUUUAUGAUCAUUAACUGUUAUUUUCAUUAAUGGUAAAUGUGUGGCACCUUGUGCUGCCCGACUUAUUGUUGUAGAUUACUAAUAAUCACGUUCAAUCUUCUUAGGCCGAACGUUUUUCUUUUUUUCUCUAUGUAAGAUACCUCCAGUAUGAAAUGAGAUAUUCCAGCAAAAGUGAUCUUACCUGCAUUCUGCCAGAAGAUGGAGCUCUAGGAACCAUUCUAGUUCAGUCUCAGUUCAGUUGUUUAAAACAGAGACAGACUUACAUUGAGUCACUUAUACUCUAGUAGAGAACUGAGUCUUGAGUCUCAAAGUCAUUGACUCUUACUAGUGCAGAUGUUGCUCCUGUUAUUCAUUUUAUUUUCUCUGCUAAAAGAGAAUGCUGCUGCAGACGUGAUAACACCAUUACUCACAGACAAGCAUGUUUUGGAAGGACAAACUGUUACACUGAUCUGCAAAUACACUGGCAAUGUUCAAAAUUUGCAGUGGUACCGUCAGUAUCCCGGAUCCAAACCUGAACACCUAAUAUCGUUCUUUGAGACCAAACCAGAGUCUUCUCUCCGUCUGACCGCUGAAGCUGAUAAAGCCAACAAGCAAAUGAAUCUGACGAUCUCUUCUACAGAAGUGAAAGACUCUGCCAUGUACUACUGUGCCCUGCAGCCCACAGUGACAGGAAACACUACUGCACCCUACAAAAACUCAAUGAGAAAUUAUAUUCAAGGCAGAGGAUCAUGAUGCACAUUUUAAAAACUUAACAUAAAGCAAGUUAUCAGCUCUAAAGUAAAACAUAAUAGAACAGAAAACUCUAAUUACACCAUUUCAGUGUGUUUAAACCCUGACUAAAUACUUAAAUACUACUUACUUAUACCGGAAGGCAGUAUUCUCAGCAGAUGCAAGCUAUAUCAAGAUUCCAAGGAUGAUUCUCAGCAUACAGUAUACUGGAAAUUAAAUUGCAUACCUGAUACACGUAUGCUGACUUUUAAACAAUGAAGCUCUGUACCAAACUUUGAACAGGAGAAAAACAUGAAGAGCUUUUGAAGUAUGCUGUAAAAGUAAUAUAUGAGAAUAAGUAGGCGGAGCUAGCCGAGGGGAAAGUCACUGCAAAACAGAAGAGCAGACGGAACAAUGCCUCCAGAGACAGGAGAGAGCUAUCAAUGCUCU